UACGGAGGGGGCUAGCGUUGUUCGGAAUUACUGGGCGUAAAGCGCACGUAGGCGGAUUGGCAAGUUGGGGGUGAAAUCCCGGGGCUCAACCCCGGAACUGCCUCCAAAACUUCCAGUCUUGAGUCCGAGAGAGGUGAGUGGAAUUCCGAGUGUAGAGGUGAAAUUCGUAGAUAUUCGGAGGAACACCAGUGGCGAAGGCGGCUCACUGGCUCGGUACUGACGCUGAGGUGCGAAAGCGUGGGGAGCAAACAGG
rnacentral:rRNA from 1 species